AUACUAUCGAAAUCGGUUCACUCCAACCCAUGUGAACGUUACCAAACUGUUGCCUCGGCGGGAUCUCUGCCCCGGGUGCGUCGCAGCCCCGGACCAAGGCGCCCGCCGGAGGACCAAACAAAACUCUUUUUGUAUACCCCCUCGCGGGUUUUUUAUAAUCUGAGCCUUCUCGGCGCCUCUCGUAGGCGUUCCUCAAAAUGAAUCAAAACUUUCAACAACGGAUCUCUUGGUUCUGGCAUCGAUGAAGAACGCAGCGAAAUGCGAUAAGUAAUGUGAAUUGCAGAAUUCAGUGAAUCAUCGAAUCUUUGAACGCACAUUGCGCCCGCCAGUAUUCUGGCGGGCAUGCCUGUCCGAGCGUCAUUUCAACCCUCGAACCCCUCCGGGGGGUCGGCGUUGGGGAUCGGCCCUGCCUCUUGUCGUUUGCCGUCUCCGAAAUACAGUGGCGGUCUCGCCGCAGCCCUCUCCUGCGCAGUAUUUUGCACACUCCCAUCGGGAGCGCGGCGCGUCCCCCAGCCGUUUAAACACCCAACUUCUGAAAAUGUUGACCCUCGGAUCAGGGAGGGAAUACCCGCUGAACUUAAGCAUAUCAAUAAGCGGGAGGAAACUUUCAA
rnacentral:rRNA from 1 species